rnacentral:misc_RNA from 1 species
GAUGAAGAACGUAGCGAAAUGCGAUAAGUAAUGUGAAUUGUAGAAUUCAGUGAAUCAUCGAAUCUUUGAACGCACCUUGCGCCCUUUGGCUAUUCUGAAGGGCAUGCCUGUUUGAGUAUCAUGAACACCUCAACUCUCAUGGUUCGCCAUGAUGAGCUUGGACUUUGGGGGUCUUGCUGGCCUACGGUCGGCUCCUCUCAAAUGAAUCAGCUUGCCAGUGUUUGGUAGAGUCGCAGGUGUGAUAACUAUCUACGCUUGUGGUUUUCUGCCAGAUAACCUUCAGUGAUGGAGGUUCGCUGGAGCUUAUAAAUGUCUCUCCCCAGUGAGGACAGCUUUUUGAACGUUUGAUCUCAAAUCAGGUAGGACUACCCGCUGAACUUAAGCAUAUCAAUAAGCGGAGGA